AACGCAGCGAAGGGCGAUAAGUAGUGUGAAUUGCAGAAUUCAGUGAAUCAUCGAAUCUUUGAACGCACAUUGCGCCUCCUGGUAUUCCGGGAGGCAUGCCUGUUCGAGCGUCAUUAACGACACCUCAAGCGAAUUUGCUUGGUCUUGGAACGCGAGCGCCGCUGGCCUUCGGUUCCGAAAUUCAAUGGCGGAAAGUCUCACGUGCCCCGGCGUAGUAAGUUUAUCUUUCGCUUGGUCGCUGAGGCCUUCCCGCCCUCAAAUCCCCAAUAUUUUGUGUUGACCUCGGAUCAGGUAGGGAUACCCGCUGAACUUAA
rnacentral:rRNA from 1 species